rnacentral:tRNA from 1 species
GAAAUAAAAUAUUAAGAAUAAGCUUCUAACUUAAUUCUUUAGCGGUGAAACCCCGUUAAUAUUUCU